rnacentral:rRNA from 1 species
AGUCGAGCGGACAGAUGGGAGCUUGCUCCCUGAUGUUAGCGGCGGACGGGUGAGUAACACGUGGGUAACCUGCCUGUAAGACUGGGAUAACUCCGGGAAACCGGGGCUAAUACCGGAUGGUUGUUUGAACCGCAUGGUUCAAACAUAAAAGGUGGCUUCGGCUACCACUUACAGAUGGACCCGCGGCGCAUUAGCUAGUUGGUGAGGUAACGGCUCACCAAGGCAACGAUGCGUAGCCGACCUGAGAGGGUGAUCGGCCACACUGGGACUGAGACACGGCCCAGACUCCUACGGGAGGCAGCAGUAGGGAAUCUUCCGCAAUGGACGAAAGUCUGACGGAGCAACGCCGCGUGAGUGAUGAAGGUUUUCGGAUCGUAAAGCUCUGUUGUUAGGGAAGAACAAGUACCGUUCGAAUAGGGCGGUACCUUGACGGUACCUAACCAGAAAGCCACGGCUAACUACGUGCCAGCAGCCGCGGUAAUACGUAGGUGGCAAGCGUUGUCCGGAAUUAUUGGGCGUAAAGGGCUCGCAGGCGGUUUCUUAAGUCUGAUGUGAAAGCCCCCGGCUCAACCGGGGAGGGUCAUUGGAAACUGGGGAACUUGAGUGCAGAAGAGGAGAGUGGAAUUCCACGUGUAGCGGUGAAAUGCGUAGAGAUGUGGAGGAACACCAGUGGCGAAGGCGACUCUCUGGUCUGUAACUGACGCUGAGGAGCGAAAGCGUGGGGAGCGAACAGGAUUAGAUACCCUGGUAGUCCACGCCGUAAACGAUGAGUGCUAAGUGUUAGGGGGUUUCCGCCCCUUAGUGCUGCAGCUAACGCAUUAAGCACUCCGCCUGGGGAGUACGGUCGCAAGACUGAAACUCAAAGGAAUUGACGGGGGCCCGCACAAGCGGUGGAGCAUGUGGUUUAAUU